UUCAACACUUACGAAGAGUAUGUUAUUGCCCUCCUGGACGUGCCCACUCAGGGCCACAGUCCCAUUCUCUUUGCUGCGGCUGAUGUAGAUGUCCCUAUCAUUGGAGACAAAUGUGAAGCAGGAACUCUACCUCUGAGUCACAUCCCCAGGUCCCUGGGCAGGGAUUUCUGUUAAUUCUGUUCCCAGAUGAACCCUAGCUCUGCAAGCUGCCCUGGCUCAGAGAAGACCAUCCACAGGGUUUGUCGCUGGAAGGGUCGUGUGUCCUUUCCCACUGGACUGAGACCCUGUUGGGUCCUAGUUUCCCCCAUCUGGUAGUGGCCUGAGUGUGCUCACGCCAGGUCGCUGUGUGGCAGCAGCUGCAUCAGUCUGAGGCACAAUUAUUGCCGAACAGUUCUGUCAUCUGAGUCUCAAGGCUGCCCGGUUUCGUUUCAAACCCCACACACUGACUUUCCAGAAAUUUUAAUUUAGUCAGCAUUUUGGCCCUAGUUUGGAGCCUCAAGUCAUUCCUUGAAGUGGUAAGUUGAAAACAAACCGCGUCACCUUAGGAAACACUCAGAAGAGCAGUGUGAUUAAUGUGGUUGGGUGACUAUGAGAUGCUUUGAACUCUGUGUGUGAACUUGUUUCCCUCGUCCCUUUUCUCGUUUUCAACCUUUUUUUGUGUGUGUUUCAAAAGUAAGCAGAAGAUUUCUACCUCCCUCAGUGCUCAGAUGACUUGCCCCCAAAGGAUCUCACUGUUAAAUAAUAGUGAGACAAUUCCCAUGCCUGUUACAAGAGGGGAGGCUCAACACACAUCCCCAUGAAGUUCCCAUUGGCCUUAUGGAAUUGGAGAAUAAGAGAAGCUAGAAACGUCAUGGGGUGUGACUCCCUUUCCCCUGACCCUGCAGGUGAGAAGGCUUCCCCAGACUUCACCCCUCCAGAGACUGGCAGCUGGGCUCCACAGCGAAUAGUGCUCUGAGGCCAAGGUGCAAGAAAAGAAAACCCAAUUAGAAGAUGGGCAAAGAAGCUAAAUACAGUUUGUCCAGAGAAGAUAUCCAAAUGGCUGAUAAGCACAUGAAAAGGAGCUCCAUAUCAUUAGCUUCAGUUCUCGGCGGACACAACAUCUUUGUUGGUAUGUGGUGCUGAGGAUCGAACCCGGGCUGCACGCAUGCCAGGCGAGCGCGCUACUGCUUGAGCCACAUCCCCAGCCCAAUUAUGUGUAAUUUUCAAAAGAGUAAAUAAUAGAAAUCCCAAUGGACUGACAAAUUGAAAAAUAAAUGUAUAUCCAUAUGGAAUCCCACUAAACAUCAGUAAAAGGAAAUCAUGGAUGAAUCUUGGAAACCUUUUGGGAAUUCAAGCCAUUCAGAAAGAUACCACCUUUUGUAUAAUACCAUUUUUUGUGUAAAGUUUAAAAUAUGCAAAUUUAUUUAAUAUUGGGGGGAUAAAACCUAGGGUGCCUAAAAACUGAGUCACAUCCGUAGUCUGUUUUGUUUUGAUGCUUUUUAAGGUAAAAAAAAUCAUAGAUGGGUACAAUAACUUUCUUUUAUUUUCAUGUGGUGAUGAGACUCAAACCAAGUGCCUCACAUGUGCUAGGCAAGCACUCUACUACUGAGCUACAACCACAUCCUCACCUUUUAUUUUGAGAGAACGACUCAUUUGCUGUGGGACUUGGUAAGUUGCUGAGGCUGCCUUUGAACUUUUGAUCAUCCUGCCUCAGCCUCCCGUGUUGCUACGAUUAUAAGUAUGUGUCACCAUGUCCAAUUUCCAGAAGAGGAAAAUUUAUAUAGACAGAAAUUAGAUUGGUUAUUCUCUACAGAUGGGGAUUGGGGAAAAAAAGGAGGAAAUAAGAAAGGUCUGCUAAUUUUUACGGGAUUUUUCUGGGGACGAUUAGAGUGUUCUUUAGUUGUGGUGAUGGUUUUAAAAUUUUGUGAAUACACUAAAUAUCACUGAAUUGUUAAUGUUAAAUGGUCAGUUGUAGGCUGUGUGAAUUGUAUUCCAAUAAAGCUGUUACAAAAAGUGAUGUAAGUGAAUGAUUCUUAUGAUUAUCUGGAAAUGACUGAGUUGUGAAAAUGCUGUCAUGUCAUGCUGUUAGAUAAUAAAGGAAAUUGAGCCAAA